CUGGCGAGCCUCCCCAACCUGCUCCCGGGGUCACGUGGUCUGCUCCCGGGGUCACGUGGUCCGCUCCCGGAAGAAAGCAGGGGCCUGAGAGGCUGUGUGCGCCAGAGGUUUGCGGUUUAGCUCUUUUCAUUCCUGCCGUGUUGUCGCUGUUUCGAACGCUUCGUGUGGCUUUGGAGGCAAUGGCUUGAGCCUUGAUAAGAUACAGAGAAAUCGGAGGCAAGGAGGCCUGGUGGUAAAUAUGGAGCUUUUAUUUGGCGCCGCAGGUGUCCCUCGGUCCUGCCUGCUCCCGGGGCAGGCACGCCUGUGGGGCCCAGAUGACCUGGAGCGGGGAUGGCCAGAGAGCUGUGCUUGGAGCCCAGCUGCGGAAUAACACUUGGAAACCUAAAACCCAGGGUGGAAAGUGAGAGAGAAACAGAGAAAAACAAAUCCCCGACUCACCCACCUGAAUGAAGGAGGAGUCGACAGAGGACACGGCUGUAGGAUUCUCAUACAUCGACUGGCUCCCUUCCUUGGGUUUAUUCCAUGUAUUAGCGGAAUACCAAUAACAUUGGAAGAAGCAAGAAAGAUGGACAUGAAUUUCACUUUCAAGAGGUUGCCCAAGAGCAAGCAGCUGGUUGAUGAGAUGGCUCCAUAGAGCCUCCAAAUGAGAUGGGUUGGAAAAGGAGACAAACACCACGGGACUGAUGACUUAAACAUCGAUGCGCCCUGAGCAAACAGGAGGGAAAGAGCGGCCGACACCUGCUUGGUAAUCAGCUUUGUCAUUCAUGCAGAUAUUGUGAGGACAAUUCCUUGCCGAAACCUGGAAAAUCUUAGCUUUGUUCGGUGCAAGGCAACAGACAGGCCCUGUUUCCAGGCACAGCUCUUGCUUCAGCAAUCAAGAGUGGCCACGAGUAACUCUGGACCUACCUACCUGUGGGUCUCCUUGACCUUCGCCAACACUUCUGCCUCCUCCCCUGCCUCUUCUUCCCCCAGUGUUGGGACUCCUGUCAAAUCCUGUAUUUAAAACCAGAAUCCUGGAAAAGUUGGUCAUUGCCAGCGCGUAAUGACAGGUUGGCUAAUUGAUAGUGUGCCUUCAAAAACGGGAGUAGGACAAACAAGGCAGCUAAUUUUGAUAAUGAACAGAUUCGAGGCAAACAGGCGACAGCAUCCUUUGCAUAUGGUUCCACACCAGCCGUGUGUUUGUUUGGAUUCUAUGUUAAUUUUAGAAACUGUAAAACACCACAUGCCAAAUUGGUUGAUUGAAAUAAUGCUACUUCCCAGAGGCUGACAAUCUGUUGUUUCUUGCAGGAGGCAAGAGGUUACCCGAUGAGUGUUGACUUAGUUGCAGGCAAGAGUCUCAUGGAGAAUAGAGACAGUUGUCCAGGUAAUUGACUGCCUCGGUGAACUGGAUGCUUGGAGUAUUUUGAUGCUGCUUUAUGUCUGUCUGUGUAUCCCUCGAUUCAUGCAUUUGUGCUUCUAUUUGUUGUGUAAUUGGUUCGAUUCCCUUUGCCAGUAUAGGUCUUGACUCGAUUUUGAUCUGGAACAUUGCCUUUUUUUUUUUUUAAUGUUUAU